GUCCGCACUGUAAACGAUGAUUACUCGCUGCUGGGAGGUAACUUUCAGUGGCUUAGCGAAAGCGAUAAGUAAUCCACCUGGGGAGUACGCCGGCAACGGUGAAACUCAAAGGAAUUGACGGGGGCCCGCACAAGCGGAGGAGCAUGUGGUUUAAUUCGAUGAUACGCGAGGAACCUUACCAGGGCUUGAAAGUUAGUGACCGCUCCUGAAAGGGAGCUUUCCGCAAGGACACGAAACUAGGUGCUGCAUGGCUGUCGU
rnacentral:rRNA from 1 species